rnacentral:rRNA from 1 species
UACGUAGGCAGCGAGCGUUGUUCGGAAUUACUGGGCGUAAAGAGUGUGUAGGCGGUGUUCCCAGUCUGUUGUGAAAUCUCCCGGCUUAACUGGGAGGGUGCAGCGGAAACUAGAAUGCUAGAGGGUGGGAGAGGUAAGCGGAAUUCCUGGUGUAGCGGUGAAAUGCGUAGAUACCAGGAGGAACACCUGUGGUGUAGACAGCUUACUGGACCACUUCUGACGCUGAGACACGAAAGCGUGGGUAGCAAACAGG